rnacentral:rRNA from 1 species
CAACUUUCAGCRGUGGAUGUCUAGGCUCGCACAUCGAUGAAGAACGCUGCGAACUGCGAUACGUAAUGCGAAUUGCAGAAUUCAGUGAGUCAUCGAAAUUUUGAACGCAUAUUGCACUUUCGGGUUAUACCUGGAAGUAUGUCUGUAUCAGUGKCCGUA